CCAAUAGCGUAUAUUAAAGUUGUUGCAGUUAAAAAGCUCGUAGUUGAACUUCGGGGUCUACCCAUUGGUCAGGCUUAAUUGUCUGCACUGGUGAGAUGGAUCUCUACCUUCUGAGGAACUUUCAUGCCAUUUAUUUGGUGUGAUGGGAAAUCAGGACUGUUACUUUGAAAAAAUUAGAGUGUUUAAAGCAAGCUAACGCUUGAAUACAUUAGCAUGGAAUAAUGAAAUAGGACGUUCGAUCCUAUUUUGUUGGUUUCUAGGAUUGACGUAAUGAUUAAUAGGGAUAGUUGGGGGCAUUAGUAUUCAAUUGUCAGAGGUGAAAUUCUUGGAUUUAUUGAAGACUAACUACUGCGAAAGCAUUUGCCAAGGAUGUUUUCAUUAAUCAAGAACGAAAGUUAGGGGAUCGAAGACGAUCAGAUACCGUCGUAGUCUUAACCAUAAACUAUGCCGACUAGGGAUCGGAUGAUGUUAAUUUUUUAAUGACUCAUUCGGCGCCUUACG
rnacentral:misc_RNA from 1 species